CUACGGGGCGCACCAGUGGGGAAUAUUGGACAAUGGGAGCAACCCUGACCCAGCAAUGCCGCGUGUGUGAAGAAGGCCUGCGGGUUGUAAAGCACUUUCAAUAGGGAGGAAAAGCUUUGGGUUAAUACCCCGAAGUCUUGACGUUACCUUUAGAAGAAGCACCGGCUAACUCUGUGCCAGCAGCCGCGGUAAUACAGAGGGUGCGAGCGUUAAUCGGAAUUACUGGGCGUAAAGCGCGCGUAGGCGGUUUGAUAAGUCAGAUGUGAAAGCCCCGGGCUUAACCUGGGAACUGCAUUUGAUACUGUCAAACUAGAGUAUGGUAGAGGGUAGUAGAAUUCCUGGUGUAGCGGUGAAAUGCGUAGAUAUCAGGAGGAAUACCAGUGGCGAAGGCGGCUACCUGGACCAAUACUGACGCUGAGGUGCGAAAGCGUGGGGGGCAAACAGGAUUAGAUACCCGUGUAGUC
rnacentral:rRNA from 1 species